rnacentral:lncRNA from 1 species
AGUAUGAGAUGGCAGCUGAGACCUGUGCAGCUGAUGACAGUUUGAAAGAAGGAUGAGCAGGCUCUCUGCCAUCUGCCCACCAACUUUUCAAGUUACUUUUACCCACCUUCAAAAUUACAUCUGCUUUUAGCAAGAAUUACUGAUGUGAUAAAGAUGGGAGUGUUCACCAUGCAAGGGCAGGGGAUCCCCUGCUGCUCCACCAUCAGAUUUGGGACACCACCCCCCCCCCGGCCCCACCAGAGGGCAUCAGCUAUGCCUAGGACUCCCACCGUUUGCUGAGCUCCACAUGACAACAGCAGACGACAGGCCGCACUGAUCCCACCUGGCUUACAGGUGCUGUCACACAGAUCUACGUCUAUAUAUCUAUAUUCCAUUAGCCCUGUCUCUCUGGAGAACCCUGACUAGUACAGAGAGGAUCACGAGUAAGCAAGCAGGGCACUGACCUUGGAUGGGCCACUUGACCUCACAGGGGUCUGGUUUUCUGGAGACAAACACCACACAGUGAUGGAGAGAACCUCGUGACAGAGCCUUGCCCAGGUGCACGUGGGGCGGAGUUCAUCACAGCGCUGGCUGGUUUGUUGAAAAGGAGGCCCGGCGGCUGUUCACUGUCUUGACAAACAGCCAGAGAGGCAGGGGAACCCUACACUGUAUACUUUUCUCAGUAAUAAACCAAGCUAUUCA